AGAAGAUGCCUCCGCUUGAGCCUGUUUCUGGAUACUCUUUCCUCCAUGGACGCCCAGUUUCUGAGAACACAAAUACAGAGACAGUCACUGCCGAUGUUCUAUGCAGACCGAGCUAUGACUUGCGGGGACAUGUCAUCUACAAAAAAAGUGCAGGUCGGAGUUCCAAAUGGCUGGAUUUCCCAAAGAGCCACAUCCUGGGAGUAUCAAUGAGAACACCAUAGGGCUGUUUAUUUGGUGCAUGCUAGGUUAGAGGGUCCCUGCCGCUGAGAGGAUGACGACAGGAAGAGGAUGCCAUAGUGGUAAAUUCAUGACAGUAUUUGAUAUCAUUUAGCGCACUCAAAAUGUGAGAGGAAGCUAUGCAUUGCUACCAAGGAAAAUUUACUGCAAUUAUCUUAGUUUGUCAUCUAAAGUAUAUAUUUACUAAAGGAUGCACAUGAGAAAUCAGGAAUCGGUGCAACCAAAAUCAGUCCCGAUGUUCAUGUCUCUAUUGAUUUCCUAUGAGAUAGAACAGCAUUUUUUGCUUAAUGUGAAAUGGAGCGGUUACUUUAUUUGUGGCAGCUGGUGUUUGGAAAUCAUCUUAUCUUACUUGUUAAUGUCAUGAGCUUCUCACACUUUUUGUAUGAGUUGUUUGUUUUAAUACUUAGUAACGGCUCACAGCGAGCGAUGUUUACGCUAGAAAUCAGAGUUUAUUCACUUUGCUGCACAUACUGUGGAAACAUCUUUUUCUCAGGGCUGUUUACGAUUUUUCGAAAGUUCUGGUCUUAUUGUUUGGUGGGUUUUGGAUAAAUUCCAGGGGUUUUCUUGAGAAAUUAUGUUCAUGAUGUUGUGUUUUUUUGUGCAUAGAAAGGGAAGUAAAUGAGAUUUGACACAUGAUGGAACAGUGACUGACAAGUCAGAUUACUGGUCUCAGCUAUGCUCAGGAACAGCAGGGUAUGGGCAAUGGCUCUCUACUGACCAAGACAAACACAGCUUAAAAGAUCCAUAGCAUUAAAUGGAGACUGGAAGGGUGACUGAUCACAAGCAGUCACUAUUGAGCAAAUAUGAAAAAUGAUGGUUAGAUUUACUCCUGAAAAGUAUAUUACACUGGGGAGAAAUCCAUUCCAUUUCAAAUAUACAUAUGAUAAAAUAAUUCAAUUUUAUGUUCUAGUGUAAUGUGUAUGACAUACUGUACAGGUAUGGUAAAGGAUUUAAAUUUUUACAAUGUA